AUUAACCAAACAAUUAGAAUGAGCUUGAUUAGUAUCAUUCCAAUGAUUUUUUUGAUAUUACUAUCAUUUACGUGGCAUCUCCUGAUUGGUCGCAUUUGUCAAAAAUAAGAAAAAAAUAUUUAUCUAUUAAACAAAUAUUAUAAAUAAUACUAAAAUUUUUUAAUGAUAGUUUGUUAGUAUCACCUAUAACCAUGCUCUUAAUAAUUAGGAUAUAAAACAUGUGAAUGAGAGAAGUGGACCCUAGUGAUCUUUGUUUGUAGUGGCCUCAAGAUUUUACUUUAGUCCCAAAUUCGGAGGAAAUUAUUUUUGUUAAUUAAUCAUUUAUUCUUUCUUUUGUUCUACCUCAUUCCAACUUACA
rnacentral:sRNA from 1 species